rnacentral:ncRNA from 1 species
CAUCGUGAGGUGGAAUCUGAAGGAAGGUGUAGGCAAAUCUCCGGUCUGACGAACAGAAAUCACAUGAGGUUAUGUACUAGGAUAAGUCCGCAAAACAGGAUGAAGUCCAAUAGCUAUUCGGAAUAGUGCAUAAUAUAUGUGGCAGAUACAUGGA